CAGAGUCCAAGAGAAAUGCCCUGCCCAGGGUCUGGCAGAACUGAUGGAGAGCAGCCUUCGUGGCUACCACCUUCCCAUAAAGUCUGUGCUCUCCAGCGGCGCUUGGUAAUAAGAUUUAUUUAAUGACACGUGUAACUCUAAGACUAUUUGUGAUGGCGAAUACCACAGAUUUGACUGGGUUUGAGUUUUGAUUAUAGACUUCGAUGGAGAAAGCAAUGGCGCCACAACCCAGCCAGGGUGCCCUGCCAGGACUUCCUCAUCUCUUGCAGUGAAACCCCCUUAUCAAACAUUACGUGCUAUCUGGCCCCCUUUGUCAUACUUUCUUGCACUCCACUUACUACAUAUCAAGGAUUUGCCAUGUUGUGGAAAAGUUGGUUUCAUAACAUAUUUUGAACUCUUA
ensembl:lncRNA E2F3-IT1 E2F3 intronic transcript 1